UACGAAGGGGGCUAGCGUUGCUCGGAAUUACUGGGCGUAAAGCGCACGUAGGCGGCUUUCUAAGUCGGAGGUGAAAUCCUGGAGCUCAACUCCAGAACUGCCUUCGAUACUGGAGCUUGAGUCCGGGAGAGGUGAGUGGAACUGCGAGUGUAGAGGUGAAAUUCGUAGAUAUUCGCAAGAACACCAGUGGCGAAGGCGGCUCACUGGCCCGGUACUGACGCUGAGGUGCGAAAGCGUGGGGAGCAAAGCAGGG
rnacentral:rRNA from 1 species